AUUUCAAUACCUUCUUGCAAAAUGCAGAUAGGGAUCUGAUUGCUGAAGUCUUCCAUGAAGUUCUAGAUGCUUGGAAAGGAUUCUGAAGAUAUCUCAACUUCAAAGAAGGGUAGGAAGGCAUGGUGUUAUUUAACAUACUCAAGAAAUAGGUUGUUUCAAUUUGUUGUGCAGGAUUUGUUUUGAUGAACCUAAUUCUUUAGUUCAGAUGGAUUUUUUAAGAUUUGAUGUACAUUCUUAUGUUGUGGUCUUCAACUGUAAACCACAAGUUAUUAUUGUUUACAAAAAAUGUAAAUAAAGAACAUAUGUUCAUCAUUAAAAUGAUUCUGAAUUGUGAUGAUACUUGAUUGCUGCAUUUAUUUUGUUGGUAUAGAGAAUUUUACAUUUUAGAAUUUACAUAUCCAUUGAUCUUUUGAAUGUAAUUUUCUCUCGGUAAAGGCAAGUUAGGAAAAAAAGCAAAUAAAAUUCUUCUCCUUUUAUUUCAUACUUCAACAACAAAAAAGGCAGCACAAUGGAAGAAGAUGAGUGCACAAAACAACUUAGUGAAAGGGAAAACACUUAAGCCAAGUCAGCAAAAUGGCAAAUAAGACCACACGAGUCCAUGAUAGAGAGAACAUGCCUUCCACAAAAGGCCAACAUUUAUAAGUGCUCAAUUCAUUUUCCAAUUUCUCUAAAAUUUAAGCACCACCCUUUUAACCUUGACAGCAGAUUUAUCUGAUCCACUGGUAUCUAAAUUUUUUAACUUGAUAGGACCAAAACUCUUAAGACAGUGACUUCUGAUAUUCAGGUAGAGAAAUCUUGAGAUUUCAAAUAAUGUGAAAGGAAUAAAAAAAAGUUGAAAUGUGGUUACCUAGUCACAUCACUCUGAUAUCUUCAGAUUUUCAUAAAACCAAAGUGGUUGAUAUGCAAUGAACUGACCUCAUACUGUUCAGUUUCAGAGCAGCAUAGCACUCUUUCAACUUGGCUUAUCAUAGUUGUCAUUGUGCUUCUGUAUACUGCUCCAAAUUCAAAUUCAACCAACAAAUUUAAAUCCUCAUGUUACAUUGUCAGUAGGGUUGAAGAGAGAAGGUUAUAGCACUAAUAAUUUGAUUAAGUGUGUGUUUGGAAACAUGUUCAGAAGCAAGAAAUCACUUCUUACACAUGAAAGUUAUAACUGCUAGCUUCUCACUGAACAUGAAAAAACAGGUCUGAGAGUUUUCUCUUAUUGAAUAACUAGUGGCUUACUUUUUUAACUUAUCUUGCAAUAUUUAUUUGUAUUCUCCACUUCUUGUCAAUUGUAUAUUAAAGGGAAAAUUGAAAUGAUGAUAAGAUGACUCUCUUUUACAAGCAGUUUAAUAUCACGCAUGAAGAACAAAGAAAAGGUCACUUCAUAUCCAAGCUAAGAAAAACGACUCCAUUGUCUCCCAAUAACAAAACAUCUAUAAUGGCUAAGAAGAAAGGGACCAUCUUCCAUUCAAAAAUGCUCUUUUUCUGCCAUCAAAAGGUCAUGAAAACUGCAAAUGUGGACCACCAAGUUUUGCUCACAUAACAUGCAACAUAAAGAAACACAGGUUGCUUAGAUUUCCACAGAACUUCAACUUAGCAUCAAAACCAAAACCAUUCAGCAUAACACAUGAAACUAAAACCACAAAUCAUUUAGAGUUUUUAAUUGUCAAGAAGGUGAAACAAUACACAGCACAAAAGUUGAUGAACUACUCACCUCUUAGCCAAAAUUCUUGAGGAAGGUUAUCAAUAUCAAUCCAAGUAUUAUUCUGUACAAGUUUGAGCUUGGAAGAGAAAACAGAAGGAACAGUGAAGUAAACAAGCAAGUGCAUCAUGCUUUAUGCUAGACACUUUGGCAAGAAUAUGGAAUAUUACAAGGAUCUUC
rnacentral:lncRNA from 1 species